UAGUCUGAACACUGCAAAGUUGCCCCUAGGCCAGGUACAUGGUGAUGUUGGCUGUAUCCUGGCGUAGUGACAAUUUCUGUUGCUGUAGACAUCCCAGGAAAUUUUCUCCUCCUCUGCUCUUCAGGAAGUUUGGCCACUCCACGACACAUGGGGACAUUUCCAAUGUCAAAAAUUAUAACCAACCAUAAAACCUUUUUUAAUCCAAGCAACAACCAUCUC
rnacentral:lncRNA from 1 species